rnacentral:rRNA from 1 species
GAUGAACGCUGGCGGCGUGCCUAAUACAUGCAAGUCGAGCGAACGGACGAGAAGCUUGCUUCUCUGAUGUUAGCGGCGGACGGGUGAGUAACACGUGGAUAACCUACCUAUAAGACUGGGAUAACUUCGGGAAACCGGAGCUAAUACCGGAUAAUAUUUUGAACCGCAUGGUUCAAAAGUGAAAGACGGUCUUGCUGUCACUUAUAGAUGGAUCCGCGCUGCAUUAGCUAGUUGGUAAGGUAUCGGCUUACCAAGACAACGAUGCAUAGCCGACCUGAGAGGGUGAUCGGCCACACUGGAACUGAGACACGGUCCAGACUCCUACGGGAGGCAGCAGUAGGGAAUCUUCCGCAAUGGGCGAAAGCCUGACGGAGCAACGCCGCGUGAGUGAUGAAGGUCUUCGGAUCGUAAAACUCUGUUAUUAGGGAAGAACAUAUGUGUAAGUAACUGUGCACAUCUUGACGGUACCUAAUCAGAAAGCCACGGCUAACUACGUG